CCUACGGGAGGCUGCAGUGGGGAAUAUUGGACAAUGGGCGCAAGCCUGAUCCAGCCAUACCGCGUGGGUGAAGAAGGCCUUCGGGUUGUAAAGCCCUUUUGUUGGGAAAGCGGUACCCAAAGAAUAAGCACCGGCUAACUUCGUGCCAGCAGCCGCGGUAAUACGAAGGGUGCAAGCGUGACUCGGAAUUACUGGGCGUAAAGCGUGCGUAGGUGGUUGUUUAAGUCUGUUGUGAAAGCCCUGGGCUCAACCUGGGAAUUGCAGUGGAUACUGGGCGGCUAGAGUGUGGUAGAGGGUAGUGGAAUUCCCGGUGUAGCAGUGAAAUGCGUAGAGAUCGGGAGGAACAUCCGUGGCGAAGGCAGCUACCUGGACCAAACUGACACUGAGGCACGAAAGCGUGGGGAGCAAACAGGAUUAGAUACCCUUGUAGUC
rnacentral:rRNA from 1 species